GGCUCCGUAGAUCCAUCAGUAAAUAGGUUUCAUCGCCUAUAGUUCUGGUCAGCUCGGACUAUUCCAAGAAACACCAGCACACAUUUCAAGUUAAGAGUCCACUCUUCAAAAUGCAUCCCACUUUUUAAUCCAAAACAACGAAAAAAUAGGGG